rnacentral:lncRNA from 1 species
UCUUAUUCUGUGGUAGUGUCGGAUUUGAUACUGUUCUUUUUUUAAAGAGGAAAAUGAUAGAUAUGAUAUGAAUGUAUUAUAUUCCUAAGUGACUGACUGCAGGAAGGUGGAAUGAGAAGUGACCGUCAGUUAAUUGAGUCUAUUGCAACCUUGAUGCUUGUUAAUAAGGAUCAGUAGAAUCUCUCAGUAUUGUUAUUAUUUCUCCUGCUGCGCAUGCCUCAGAAUGGAUAUACUGGCACCUGUCUGAGCUUUUGGUUGUGGUCAGACGCUCCCUGGAUGACUUCCUGUGUAAGAGCAUGGAGAGCAGUAAUCAACGCCUCAGCUGAUUUCAGCUUCUGCCACGAUCAAGACUGUCCUGCUGCCACCGUUUUGUAA